GAUGAAGAACGCAGCGAAAUGCGAUACGUAAUGUGAAUUGCAGAUCUCUCAGUGAAUCAUCGAAUCUUUGAACGCACAUUGCGCCCGCCAGUAUUCUGGCGGGCAUGCCUGUCCGAGCGUCAUUUCAACCCUCAAGCACUGCUUGGUGUUGGUGGCCUACGGGCGCCCCGUACCGGGUGCGCCUGUAGCCGCCCAAAUACAUUGGCGGACCCGCCGUGGCUCCCUGCGUAGUAGCUUAACCUCGCAUCGGGCCUAGGCGUCGCCCUGCCGUAAAACGAUACUCAGUAACACUGGUUGACCUCGGAUCAGGUAGGAAUACCCGCUGAACUUAAGCAUAUCAAUAAGCGGAGGA
rnacentral:misc_RNA from 1 species